rnacentral:rRNA from 1 species
UGCCAGCCGCCGCGGUAAUACUGAAGGUGCAAGCGUUAAUCGGAAUUACUGGGCGUAAAGCGCGCGUAGGCGGCUUGUUAAGUCGGAUGUGAAAGCCCUGGGCUCAACCUGGGAACUGCAUUCGAUACUGGCAAGCUAGAGUAUGGGAGAGGGCUGUGGAAUUUCUAGUGUAGCGGUGAAAUGCGUAGAUAUUAGAAGGAACAUCAGUGGCGAAGGCGGCAGCCUGGCCCAAUACUGACGCUGAGGUGCGAAAGCGUGGGGAGCAAACAGGAUUAGAUA